GGAUGUAGCUCAGUGGUAGAGCACUUGCCUAGCAUAUGCAAGGUCCUGUGUUCAAUCCCUAGUACCA
rnacentral:tRNA from 1 species